rnacentral:misc_RNA from 1 species
AGCAGCAACACGCCUCAUCUCAAGAAGCUCAUGCUUCUCUAUCUUCUGAGCAAGGCCUAUCUGAUCAAAGUUAUCAUGCAACUCAAUUGAUUCACGUAGCCUAUCAUAGUCUUCUUCCUCGACAUAAAUUUCAUUAAGUGCCUCAUUCACCGCAGAAACAUUGUUGCUCUGAACAGCAAUCAUGUAAGGCUUGACUAGGCGAAGGUGACCAGCCUUUCUCAUUAUGUCCACUACGCGUGUGUGAUCUACUCUAAGUGCAAGAACAUUUAGAAGGUCAUUAAUGAGAUCAGGAUGCUCUUGCAAAUAAAAGUGGACAGCCUUGUAAUAAAGCUCCACAUUAGCAACUUUGACAACAAUGUCUUUGAACUGCAUAUGAUCCCAGGCAUCUGGAGAGUGAUUCAUAACAGUGGUGGCAGCAUUAUCAAAUUCAUCA